UACGUAGGGUGCAAGCGUUGUCCGGAAUUAUUGGGCGUAAAGAGCUCGUAGGCGGUCUGUCGCGUCUGCUGUGAAAACUCAGGGCUUAACCCUGAGCUUGCAGUGGGUACGGGCAGACUAGAGUGCGGUAGGGGAGACUGGAAUUCCUGGUGUAGCGGUGAAAUGCGCAGAUAUCAGGAGGAACACCGGUGGCGAAGGCGGGUCUCUGGGCAAUUCCUGACGCUGGAGGCGACGAAAGCGUGGGGAGCAAACGGG
rnacentral:rRNA from 1 species